AAAUUCUCAUAGUGCGUGGCUGGGAUGAGGGCGGCGCUCACGGUGAGGAAGCCCCGAGCUCCCGGGACGCAGACAGGGUGUGCAGGGCCGUAGCUCGGGCCUGUGUAUGCACCUGUGCGUGUGUGUUUGAUGCCAGGACAAGGCGGCGGUGUGCGCGGCGAGGAGGCUGCGACAGCUGUAUAGACCCCAGCUGCAGUGAAAUGGCCAUCAAAAAGGGAAGGGAUAAUCGAGUGGUGGAAUAAAAUCUGCAAACAGAAAAAGGACAGACCUGUUUUCGGAACGAGGCUUUUCGAGUUACCACCAUGACUGAAGGCUAAGAGCAACUUGCUUGCGCAUUAAAGAUCACUUGGAGAGAGAGGUCCAGUGAGCAACAACGGCCAGAAAUUUCAGGGAGACCAUCUUGAACCAUCCAGCCUCCACCAGGCCAACAGCUGACAGCUGUCACAUGAAUAUGAUCAGCAGAAGAACCACUCAGGCAAGCCAAGCCCAAAUUGCCAAGCCCCCCAAAUAAUAAGCUAAUUGUUUUUUGUUUUAAGCCAUAAACUUUUGAGGUGGUUAUAUAGCAAUAAAUAACUGAAACAGGUGUUUAACUUUCUAGACUUUUUAAAUGACCAUAUUGAUAUAAUUGUAUUGUUCAACCUGUUUUGUAAAGUGAUUUCUCUGAUACAGUAUCUUGAAAAUAUUCCUUAACUAUUUUCUACAACUUUGCAUUUGUCUAUCUUAGUAUUAUAUUACAUGGAUAUGUGGUAACUUAUUUAACUACUAACUUCCCUUUGCAAUUCCUUUUCCUUGCUGUCUAGCUCCCAUGUCUUGACCAACUUUGCAUUCCCCUCCAGGACCUUAUGGGCACAUGGGUUCCUAUCAUUUCACGGGUAUGUAGACUCAGGAAUGUGGCAUUGACUUCUGGGUGGAGUACAGAUGACUGACACCCCCACCCCGAUUCGGAGGAAUUAUUCAGGGGUGUGAUAUAACACCUACAUACAUUUAUUUAACUAGCCAAUUUGGUCUCCCCUUUUUUUGUUUUGAGACCGAGUCUUGCUCUGUCG
rnacentral:lncRNA from 10 species